AACGAACGCUGGCGGCAUGCCUAACACAUGCAAGUCGAACGAGACCUUCGGGUCUAGUGGCGCAAGGGUGCGUAACGCGUGGGAACCUGCCCUUAGGUUCGGAAUAACUCCCCGAAAGGGGUGCUAAUACCGGAUAAUGUCUUCGGACCAAAGAUUUAUCGCCUUUGGAUGAGCCCGCGUUGGAUUAGCUAGUUGGUAGGGUAAAAGCCUACCAAGGCGACGAUCCAUAGCUGGUCUGAGAGGAUGAUCAGCCACACUGGGACUGAGACACGGCCCAGACUCCUACGGGAGGCAGCAGUGGGGAAUAUUGGACAAUGGGCGAAAGCCUGAUCCAGCAAUGCCGCGUGAGUGAUGAAGGCCUUAGGGUUGUAAAGCUCUUUUACCCGGGAUGAUAAUGACAGUACCGGGAGAAUAAGCUCCGGCUAACUCCGUG
rnacentral:rRNA from 1 species